UACGUAUGUCGCAAGCGUUAUCCGGAUUUAUUGGGCGUAAAGCGCGUGUAGGCGGUUUAGUAAGUCCGAUGUGAAAAUGCGGGGCUCAACCCCGUAUUGCGUUGGAAACUGCUAAACUAGAGUAUUGGAGAGGUAAGCGGAACUACAAGUGUAGAGGUGAAAUUCGUAGAGAUUUGUAGGAAUACCGAUGGGGAAGGCGGCCUACUGGACAGAUACUGACGCUAAGGCGCGAAAGCGUGGGUAGCAAACAGG
rnacentral:rRNA from 1 species